CCUACGGGUGACAGCAGUGGGGAAUAUUGCACAAUGGGGGAAACCCUGAUGCAGCGACGCCGCGUGAGUGAAGAAGUAAUUCGUUACGUAAAGCUCUAUCAGCAGGGAAGAAACACUGACCUUACGGUCAGCAGACGGUACCUGAGUAAGAAGCCCCGGCUAACUACGUGCCAGCAGCCGCGGUAAUACGUAGGGGGCAAGCGUUAUCCGGAUUUACUGGGUGUAAAGGGGGCGUAGACGGUGCGCCAAGUCUGGAGGGAAAUGCCGCAGCUUAACUGCGGAACUGCCUUGGAAACUGGCGAACUAGAGUGCGGGAGGGGUAAGCGGAAUUCCUAGUGUAGCGGUGAAAUGCGUAGAUAUUAGGAGGAACACCGGUGGCGAAGGCGGCUUACUGGACCGUAACUGACGUUGAGGCUCGAAAGCGUGGGGAGCAAACAGGAUUAGAUACCCCAGUAGUC
rnacentral:rRNA from 1 species